ACAGUCAUGUUUUUGGACCGUGGAAGGAAACCAGAGUACCCGGAGAAAACCCACGCAUGCAGAAAGACCCAGAGCCAGGAAUCAAAACCAGAACUUCUUCUAUCAACUGUGCCACUGUGCAUUUAAUGUACAUUUCAGCUAUACUAACUUCAAAUUCUCAAUUAAUAAUGAUGCUUGUCUUGACCUUGUUUGUGAACCUGUGGACAAGUACACUGUAUUUGUUAGUUAAACAAGUUUAACUAACUGUCCUGAAAUCAUAAACCAAGCCUUUGCAAAUUUUACACAAGUGGGGAGAAGGAAAAGACACUGCUGGAGAUGGAGAUUAACAAAGAUAGCGACAAAGCUUAUCCACUUUGUUGCUAUGUUCAUUGAUUUUUUCCUGACUCUUCUACUGACUGGUCAAAACAUCUAGUGAUAUAUGUAGCAACUCUUUUUUGUUGUUGUUUUGGAGACUCUUAAAUCAGCAUUGCUCUGUCAUGAGCAAGCAGCAUAGGAUGCUUAGAUUCCCCCUUGCUCCUAAAAAGACCUACAGUCAGUCUAACARUUGUCUGUCCUGCAGAAUUCCUUUGGCAGUAAWYAGAGCAGAGCAGGCCCAUUCCAAUUUUGUCAAUAUUACAAAGAAACAUUUGCAAAUGAGAAUAAUGCUACUAUCAAUACAGUCUACAACAYUUGCUAUUCCAACUCAUCUCCCCACUGCCCCGCUGCACCGUGUGGGGCAGUGGGACUGAAAGAGUUCGCCAUAUACCAGAAUGAGUGCUGAGUGACAUGGCUGUGGUAUUAUUUCAUAUUUUAAUGUUAAUGAAUUUCACUGUAACUAUUAGAAAAACCCAACUACCAACUUGAGGAGUCAAGUAUUGAAGUGUCAAAAUUUUCACAGAAUCAGAAAAUAAUUAUACAGUUUAUAAGCGACAAAACUUAUUUUGGGUUUAGUUACACUUUAAAUAUUAUUUUUCAAUUUCUUUGGCCAAUAGUUAAAUAAUAUUUAACUAUUAGUAGUUAAAAAUUAGUAAUAUGUAACUACUAAUAAUAUAACUUUAACCUMUGAAAUAAUUAGAGAAAAUGUGUAAGUCCAUGUAAAGAAGAUUAAAGUUUAGAAUGAUUAAAAGUCACCACACUAGUUUUCAGUUUUUCAUUGUACACACUUUGGCUGUAUUUCAUGUUUUGUUUUUAUAAUCUUUUUCUUUUCUUGUCAUUAAGGUUGCCGGAAAUGUAGUAGACAAAAGGUGUUCCUCUUUGACUCAAUCACCGGGCAUAGGACAAAUGCGGGAAAAGAGGAAGUAAAAAUUCAUUGGUUACCCUGCUCUGCUUGUGGGAAAAUCUGGGAAGACACAUGGGAACCUGCAUGUCAGUUCUCACAUGUUGCUGUCCCCCAAGAAGAGCCACUUCCUUCAGACAACAAACAAGCGGGAUGAUGUUGCUUUUUCUUUUUUAUUUUUCUUUUUUUUUUGUAUUACAAAGUUCUAAUUUUCAUUUUUUUCUAUAACUGCAGUUUCACUUUAGUGAGAAGUUUUUUGUUUUAUAUUGUUUUUGUCAUUCACUGAAAUAAAUGUUACUGUUGUAAUGCAGUAGUAAUAAGAUCAUCUUGGGCUGUUCAUUGAUACGUUUUUGUCAUAUUCUGUAAAAGYCUUAAGACAUGCUGUGACUGGCUGAGUCACUGCAUGAACUAUUUACUUUGCCUGUAUAGAGGCUUAAAAUUUUGAACAGGACUGUUUGUACAUAGUAAAAGUUGACAGUCUUAAAUCCUUAAAACAUGGCAUUYUACACAUUUGUUUUUGAGUGUUUUGAAGGUUGAUAUGGAAUUCCAAAUUCAAGUCCAUAAAAUUUUGUUAAAAAAAACAUUAAUUUCAAUAUAACUUCUUGGAAGUGUUUUAUGCCAAGAAGCUAUAAUUUCACCAUCUGCUUUUUUGUAUCAUGUAUGUUGUCUAUCAAUAUUGUAUUUGUAAAAUGCUUUAAUAA